rnacentral:rRNA from 1 species
UCCUUGAACGCACAUUGCGGCCAUGGGUUAUCCUGUGGCCACGUCNGUCCGAGGGUCGGCU